UGGCUCCGGAGGGUGGAGAUGGGGGUUAAUCUUUAGUCCCGAGACCUCACGCAGGGUCCCCGGAGAGUAACUGGCCUCCGGGAAAGAGGCAGGGGGCCGAGAUGCCAGGGAGGGCAAGGACCCGAGAGGCGGCCGAACUGACUUGAGGGCUAGCAGUGAAGAACUGCCCGCCGGCACCAAUCUGCUAACUAGUGAGGAGUGACCGAGUCUUCCUGUCUUCUGCAUCCUGGGAGGCCCGGUCCCUCUCCGCACCUCCGGACUUCCCGCUCGCCAGUGGCCUGGGGCUUGCCGGCGCGGGGCUGGGCGUGCGUGUGUUGCUGUGCGCGCGCGCAGGGGUCUGUGUGUGUGUGUGUGUGUGCGCAGCCCACGAGCCGAGCCCGGCCGCCGGGACCCAGCCGCCCGCUGCCUGCCUGGCGUCCCUCCUCCCGGCAGCCGCCUCCUCGCAGCCUUCUCACCUGGCGCUGCCGCCGGCCGCCCGCCCAGCCCUGCUUCCGCCGCCACUGCCUCCCCUCAAAGUUUCCUCAGAACAGACACCUUCGCCAAAGGCUGCCCAGGGAGAUGGAUUUCUGAAGCUGUGCUUUGGAGUGGCUCUUCUUCCAGCACCUCUUAGCCUUGUCCCCACCUAAAUCCGAGCAGAAGGUAGAAGAUUUUCCAAAACCACGGGAGGAAAGGGGGAGGGGUUUUUUAUCAAGAGGAAGAGAGGAGCGGCUACAACUGAGAAUAGGAUCUUCUUCCCUGCCUGAUGCCGGCAGCGGACUGACUGAUGGGCCUGUAGGGUUAAAGAAGAAAAUUAAAUAAAAUUAAAAAUUAAAUAGAAAAAAAGAAAAUAGAAAGCCAAGUUGACCGAGCAGGGGCUGGGAGGCUUCGGGAUGCCGGGAAGGUUGUCCCCGUCUCCGUUUCCACGGGCGUGAAGAUUUAGAGGUGCCUCCAGUGCGAGGGCUUUUAAACCGCCAUCACCCCCUGAUCCCUUUGGAAGGAAAAGCCGGUGCGGAGCUGAGGCAGGGGGGUGUCGAGGAAAAGCCUGGACUUGUGUGCAACGCGUACUUGGCUUCGGAUUUUAAGCACAUGAACGAGAACAGCGUCUCAAGGGAAUCUGUUGGAGAUGGUUUCAAGAUGUAGAAGUCUCAUAUGUGAAGUAUCCCAAAUGAAUUUGGAAAAUCCAUGCUGAAAUCGCUUCAUGUUCUGAAAUUGAAGAGUACCACAGGAAAGCUGUGUCCCUGUAUCAUGUGCUGUUUGGGCUUCUGAAGUGUCCGGCAGAUUUUUAAUCAUAUGAGCCUCAAAACGGAGUCAUGUAAAGAGGCUCAGAGACGAACACGAAAAGUGGCCACCAUCAGCAUGAGGAGCCCAGCAAGUCAGCCUGGUGAGAUGAGAAAAACAAAAUGCAGCUUUCAAGGUUCACUUCAAGCAGUUGGCGUGUGGGACUCUGAGAGAUGCUGCUGCCCGUGACAUGUUGGGAUUACCAUGAUCAACGACCCAGUUUGGAUUUCACCCAGUGGCCAGGAGCUUUGCAUGGUGGACAGCAAGGGUUGGAUUUUUAAAAAGAGUAA